rnacentral:rRNA from 1 species
AUUGAACGCUGGCGGAAUGCUUUACACAUGCAAGUCGAACGGCAGCACGGACUUCGGUCUGGUGGCGAGUGGCGAACGGGUGAGUAAUGUAUCGGAACGUGCCCAGUCGUGGGGGAUAACGUAGUGAAAAUUACGCUAAUACCGCAUACGAUCUAUGGAUGAAAGCGGGGGAUCGCAAGACCUCGCGCGAUUGGAGCGGCCGAUAACAGAUUAGGUAGUUGGUGGGGUAAAGGCCCACCAAGCCAACGAUCUGUAGCUGGUCUGAGAGGACGACAAGCCACACUGGAACUGAGACACGGUCCAGACUCCUACGAGAGGCAGCAGUGGGGAAUUUUGGACAAUGGGCGAAAGCCUGAUCCAGCCAUUCCGCGUGCAGGAUGAAGGCCCUCGGGUUGUAAACUGCUUUUGUACAGAACGAAAAGGUUUCUACUAAUACUAGGAGCUCAUGACGGUACUGUAAGAAUAAGCACCGGCUAACUACGUGCCAGCCGCCGCAGUAA